rnacentral:lncRNA from 1 species
CAUUGCCCUCAAUAUGAUCUAGAGAGAACACAUCAAGAUGAGCCCUUGAUCUAGAGAGAACACAUCAAGAUGAGCCCUUGAACUCUCUCCUCGAGGAGAUAUAGCCAUAUAGGGGAUCCGCUAAGACGAGAACAUGAGUGCCAUCACAUGGCCAAACAUCUCUUGCUGUGUUUGCCACGUGUGUCGACUCGAUCUUGAGAUUUGAGAGUAAUUACAUGCAUCUCACUGUCGAUGAUGGACAUAUCGCCUACCACUAAAGAACAAUUAGCUGUAAAUGAAAGUACACGUAUUAAGUGGAACACUCAAACCCGACUGGAUAAUUAAGUUCCAUCACAAAGAACCUAGUCAUCUAAGCUUUGCAUGUGACUAAACACUCUCGCCCUCUUGAGCCC